AUGCAUCAGUCAAUGAAAGUCAUACAAUGGUCAUACACCACUCCCACGCUAACCAUGCAUCAGUCAAUGAGAGUCAAACAUUGCCCGUGCGUUGUUCGGCUGCGAAACGGGCACUGCCCAGUCUCCAGUAAUUCAGAAGCUUCUUUUGGCCGCCUGCUGGCUCCGCCUUCACACACACGCGCCUCCAUCAACGUGCCCGUCGCCCCCGCGGUACUGCGUUCCCGCCGAGCACCUCCUACUCCGCGCGGCAGCCAGCCCUCGUGCUGCUCCAACCACGCGCCUGAGCCGCGCUUCCUCUCACGUCCGUGCCCCGCUCCGCUGGGCCGCCCGCGUGCCGGCCGACUGCUGCUCGGGCCGGCUGCCGGCUUCCUGCGCCAGGUCCGGUCUCCUCCCGCGUUACUCCAUGUGCCCCGCUCCGCCGGGUUCCUACCGCAGCGCCCUCGCAGCCGGCGCGGCUCGAGUCGCCUCAGCACUCGACCUCCGCAUCCGGGCUCGCGCCGCUCCAGCCGGCUCCGCGUGCACGCACCACGUUGCCACUCCGAAACGCGUCCACUCCGCCGUCUGCGCCCCUGCACCCGGCCGCCGACUUCUGCGCCCGUUGCCUGUGCCGCCUACGCCCGGUCUGGUCGACCUCACUCACUAGGCUUCACCGGGCCGCCUCCCGUAAGCCGGCUCCGGCCCCUCGCGCCGACUAUGCUACCGGCGUCCGGGUCGCCCUCUCCUCCGCGGCGCCCCGCCGUCGUCCGCCCGCGCCACCGCGGGCCGCCACGCUGCUGCUCUCCUCCGCCUGGGGCCGCAUGGCCGCACGCCUGUGGCCUCCCCGUCACCCUGCCGGAUGCGCCUCGCGCCGGUUGUGCCCCGCGCCGCCUGCUGCGGCCAGUCGACCCCGCUGCAGCCGGCAACUGCGCGCACAGCCGGCUCCCCCGCUCCCGCUGCGCCGGCUGCAGGGCCGCGCCGCCUCCCCGCGCCGGCUCGGCCGCGCGUGUUCACCUCAGCCCGACCAUGCUGCCGCAUCGUCCGCUGCGCCGGCUGCGGCUCCCCGCCACCCGGCCUCCGCCAGCUCCGCGCCCAUGCCGCUUGCUCAUCACCGCCUCGCGCCUCCCGGCCGCGCCGGCUCCGCCUUCCUCUGCCAAACGGCGCUCCACUCCGCGCCGUGCCUAG
rnacentral:rRNA from 1 species